UUUGAACAUGUGUUCUAAUUCUGUGCUUUCUUCUCAGUAUAACCACUUUACCUAGCAUGAAAAUCGGGAUGUGCAGUUUCCAGUUCUUCUAAGAUCUCUAAAAAAAAAAAAAAAUCAUCGUAUUUUGGUGCCAAAGCUAAUCACCUGGUGUACAACCAGAAGAAAAACAUGAGGAUCUUCAGGACUGUGCAACAGCCAAGAGAAAGUAAAGAAUAAAGACACUGCAAGAAUUUUAAAAAACGCAUUAGAGAUCAGCUGCUGAGAAAUGGGAAUAAAUGGUGAUUAGUGGCACACUGCUAGUGUGGCUGCACUGAGUUAUAAUGAGGCAUCUGCAAUGUUUUUCCAGUGUGUAACAACCAGUUGACCCCAUAGACUGUGGCUAAUGCAAAGCAGAACUGUGCAUUUGGCAGCCAUCAGCAGCUAUGUGGGGGUGAUGUGCAGGUCUCGUUUGCUGGCUGAUCUUGAGGUGGCCUUGUUAAAAGCACUCCCUGCCAUUUCUAAAGGAGAUAAAUCUACCUAGAACACUUGGAAGCAGACGUACUUCUCUGCUUGAAGAAAAGAAAAAGAAAGUGGUUUUCCCUGAACUUCUCAUCAUAAAGCACAUGUUCCUGUGAGUUACAAUUUCCAAGGCAGUGAAAGACCAGCGACAAGCUGCCAAUUUAUCAUGUCAGAGCCCCACUCCAUUCCAGCCUUCCAGCUUCUCAACUAAUUGUAACUACACGUGGUGCUCUGUGGAGAAGGACCACAGAGCUGAUGUGAUGAUGCAGGUACAAACCCAGAACUUCUUGAAUGGUUUUCUGAAAUGAUUAAUUUGAGAUGAAAAAUCUUGGGUUUUCAAACUGGACUGCAUGCUUCCUCUGUCUCUGCCAUCAGAAGUGACCAACAGCCUUGAAUCUUGAAUACCUCCCUGAUUAAAACUUCACCUAAACAGACGUGUUUUCUGCAAAAUGUUUUGGCUCUGACAAAGCACCAUAUUUUUAUGAGAUUACAUUUAAUGGAAAUGUUCUGACCAGCUCCAGAUGCAUGCUUUAUAUGUGCAUAGAUAGUUUCUAUUGCCUAGGAAGAACCACCUAGUACACAGAGAGGAUUUGCCAGAAGCAAUUAUUUUUUAUCUUAGUUUGGUUUCAAACCAUUCAUGACCACCC